GAUCCAAGUACAUCGCCGGAGUGACCCAAUCUUGCAUUAGAAUACCACCUUAGCCUGCGAUUGCAGCAUAUGCUGUAACACAGUAUGGAGUGACUUUGAUGACCCAAUCUUGCGUUGGAAUACCACCUUAGCCUGCGAUUGCAGCGUAUGCUGUAACGCUGUAUGGAGUGACUUUGUUAGUUGAUCAUAUCUUUGUGUAGAAAGGUCUAAAUGACAACCAUUUUGAUCUGUUGAAAACUAAAAUCCUAGCACAAUUUUGCUUGUAGCACCAUGCCCAUAUUCCUUGUACAAUUAAGAGGUGACAUUUUGAGGAAGAGUCAUGUUCACUUGCUAGAAAUUGUAGCUGUUGCCUAAGUUUUCAUCACCUUUGGCCUUAACCAGUAUUGUUCUUUGUCAACAACAACAACAACAACAACAACAACCCAGUAUAAUCCCACUUAGUGGGGUCUGGAGAGGN
rnacentral:lncRNA from 1 species